UACGUAGGUGGCAAGCGUUGUCCGGAUUUACUGGGCGUAAAGGGCGCGUAGGCGGCCCUCCUGGUCGCGUGUGAAAGCCCACGGCUCAACCGUGGAAGGUCGCUGGAAACUCUUCUUCUUGAGGGCGACAGAGGGAAGUGGAAUUGCUGGUGUAGCGGUGAAAUGCGUAGAUAUCAGCAGGAACACCCAUGGCGAAGGCAGCUUCCUGGGUCGGCCCUGACGCUGAGGCGCGAAAGCGUGGGGAGCGAACGGG
rnacentral:rRNA from 1 species